AUUGGGCAUAAGCCUGUAAACACCUUUACCAGUGUAAUCGUUGCCGGAAGGAACGUUGUGAGGGCAGGAUACUUGGGCAUGGCAUUGUCUGUGUCGAUCUGGCUGUCCUUGUGGAAGCGGCUGUGGCUAAGGGCCAUUCGACGGAGGUCGGGUAGUCCUUCAGCCUUGAAGAAGCUGGCACUGGCACAGGGAGGAAACUCAGCACGCAAAACAGUUCGCAGUUGUUAGCCAGAGGAUGGCAGCCGUGAGCAGAGUGCCGUGAUCCAGCCUGUCCGACAGUCAACGAACCUUUUUGCUC
rnacentral:SRP_RNA from 16 species